rnacentral:rRNA from 1 species
CCUACGGGAUGCAGCAGUAGGGAAUCUUCGGCAAUGGACGAAAGUCUGACCGAGCAACGCCGCGUGAGUGAAGAAGGUUUUCGGAUCGUAAAACUCUGUUGUUAGAGAAGAACAAGUAGGAGAGUAACUGCUCUUACCUUGACGGUAUCUAACCAGAAAGCCACGGCUAACUACGUGCCAGCAGCCGCGGUAAUACGUAGGUGGCAAGCGUUGUCCGGAUUUAUUGGGCGUAAAGCGAGCGCAGGCGGUCUUUUAAGUCCGAUGUGAAAGCCCUCGGCUCAACCGAGGAAGGUCAUUGGAAACUGGAGGACUUGAGUGCAGAAGAGGAGAGUGGAAUUCCAUGUGUAGCGGUGAAAUGCGUAGAUAUAUGGAGGAACACCAGUGGUGAAGGCGACUCUCUGGUCUGUAACUGACGCUGAGGCUCGAAAGCGUGGGGAGCGAACAGGAUUAGAUACCCGGG